rnacentral:rRNA from 1 species
GACGAACGCUGGCGGCGUGCUUAACACAUGCAAGUCGAACGGAAAGGCCCUGCUUUUGUGGGGUGCUCGAGUGGCGAACGGGUGAGUAACACGUGAGUAACCUGCCCUUGACUUUGGGAUAACUUCAGGAAACUGGGGCUAAUACCGGAUAGGAUCUCCUGCUGCAUGGUGGGGGUUGGAAAGUUUCGGCGGUUGGGGAUGGACUCGCGGCUUAUCAGCUUGUUGGUGGGGUAGUGGCUUACCAAGGCUUGGACGGGUAGCCGGGCUGAGAGGCUGACCGGCCACAUCGGGACUGGGCUGAGGCCCAGCCUAGUACGGGAGGCAGGAGUGGGGAAGAGUGCACUAUGGGAGGAAGGCUGAUGUAGUAACGCCGCGUGGGGGAAGACGGCCUUCGGGUUGUAAACCGCUUUCGCCUGUGACGAAGCGUGAGUGACGGUAAUGGGUAAAGAAGCACCGGCUAACUACGUG